rnacentral:rRNA from 1 species
ACGGGUGAGUAACGCGUAGACAACCUGCCUUUUAGAUGGGGACAACACCGCGAAAGUGGUGCUAAUACCGAAUGUUGUAACUUUGUUGCAUGAUAGAGUUACUAAAGAUGGCCUCUAUUUAUAAGCUAUCACUAAAAGAUGGGUCUGCGUCUGAUUAGCUAGUUGGUGAGGUAAUGGCUCACCAAGGCGACGAUCAGUAGCCGGUCUGAGAGGAUGAACGGCCACACUGGGACUGAGACACGGCCCAGACUCCUACGGGAGGCAGCAGUGGGGAAUCUUCCGCAAUGGACGAAAGUCUGACGGAGCAACGCCGCGUGAGUGAAGAAGGUUUUCGGAUCGUAAAGCUCUGUCUUUAGGGACGAAUGUGCUCUUUGUGAAUAAUGAGGAGCAAUGACGGUACCUGAGGAGGAAGCCACGGCUAACUACGUGCCAGCAGCCGCGGUAAUACGUAGGUGGCAAGCGUUGUCCGGAAUUAUUGGGCGUAAAGCGCGCGCAGGCGGGAUGGUAAGUCUAACUUAAAAGUGCGGGGCUCAACCCCGUGAGGGGUUAGAAACUACCAUUCUUGAGUACAGGAGAGGAAAGUGGAAUUCCC